ensembl:snoRNA
UGGAUCAAUGUAACCACUGAUGUCAUAUGUGUCAUAUAUGAUGAAUACAUGUUGGGAACUCUGACGUCCAA